rnacentral:snRNA from 1 species
GGCAUUUUCGUGAUUUGUGCUAU